CAAAUGUAAAUUUCCCUCUUUGGUCUAAGCAUGGUGGUGGUGUUGUCCACGACCCACUGAAGACCCAGGGGAAUCAGCUUUAACUGGGUCACUCUACAGUCUUGAGUGUGACUGAAGUCUUCCUAUUGCCGCAGGACCUUUGCACACCCUUGCAGGACAGCCUCAUUGAGAGUGCAGGUGUUUGGGGUAAACCAGGGCCUUGGAGCACAUUCCACUCCCGACCACUUCCUCCUCGCUCCGUGACCUGAGCCACUCAUUUGCCUCAUCUGAAAAGCACGAGCUAGUAAAGGAGCAGGGCUCUCUGCCCCAUAGACAGACAGCUAAGGAGGGAACGGGCUUGCUCCUCAUGCUUCAUGGGCUAGACCCUGUCUCCUCCCCCCCCCCCCCGAGAUGCCUAGCAGCCUUUGCAGCCAGAAGUCACCCGUGAACACCCAUGCCAGGACAGACAGACCCUGCAGGCUCAGAGCCCACAAUUUUUACCUGGUCCCACAUCUUCUUAUCGAUUUCACCCCAACCCAGUCUUCUACUGACUCUCAGAUUCAUUGGGCUUAUCAGCAGCUCCUUCUUCUUCUUGUGCCCCACCCCGCCUUGUGUGCUCACUGAACAACAGUUCUCUCCAUCCACAAAAUGGGCAUGGCGAGGCACAGAACAGAACUAACUGCCCACCCACCUGGGCACUUUUACA
rnacentral:lncRNA from 1 species